rnacentral:rRNA from 1 species
UACAGAGGUCUCAAGCGUUGUUCGGAUUCAUUGGGCGUAAAGGGUGCGUAGGCGGCGCGGUAAGUCGGGUGUGAAAUCUCGGAGCUUAACUCCGAAAACUGCAUUCGAUACUGCCGUGCUUGAGGACUUGGAGAGGAGACUGGAAUUUACGGUGUAGCGGUGAAAUGCGUAGAUAUCGUAAGGAAGACCAGUGGCGAAAGGCGGGUCUCUGGACAGUUCCAUGACGCUGAGGCAACGGAAGGUCAGGGGAGCAAACGGG